rnacentral:misc_RNA from 1 species
CAUCAGCAAUGAAUAAAGGUACCACAAGUCUGAAUCAGAAGAAAAUCAAAACCUGAGUUACAGCUACAGCAAAUUGUUAGAAUCACUUACCUACCCAUGUCUUAAUGAGCAUAAUCAGUUCCCCACCCAUGUCCUAAUAAGAAUAAUCAGUUGCUUACCCAUGUGCCAAUAAGCAUAAACCUUAUUUGAGCAUAUUGUAUGACGGCGGUAGAAAGCACACUCGUACACAAC